CAGUAGCCGCGGUAAUACAGAGGGUGCGAGCGUUAAUCGGAUUUACUGGGCGUAAAGCGUGCGUAGGCGGCUUUUUAAGUCGGAUGUGAAAUCCCUGAGCUUAACUUACGAAUUGCAUUCGAUACUGGGAAGCUAGAGUAUGGGAGAGGAUGGUAGAAUUCCAGGUGUAGCGGUGAAAUGCGUAGAGAUCUGGAGGAAUACCGAUGGCGAAGGCAGCCAUCUGGCCUAAUACUGACGCUGAGGUACGAAAGCAUGGGGAGCAAACAGGAUUAGAUACCCCCGUAGUCCCUGUCUCUUAUAC
rnacentral:rRNA from 1 species